ensembl:snRNA U5 U5 spliceosomal RNA
AGCCUCGAGUUUCUCUUCAUUGUCGCAUAAAUCUUUUGCCUUUUACUAAAGAUUUCCGUGGAGGGGAGCUUUUGCGAGUGACCUGUAUUUUUUUGGGGGCUCUGCUCACAGCAGAGCU